CCUACGGGUGGCUGCAGUGAGGAAUAUUGGUCAAUGGACGAGAGUCUGAACCAGCCAAGUAGCGUGAAGGAUGACUGCCCUCUGGGUUGUAAACUUCUUUUAUAUGGGAAUAAAAUGUUCCACGUGUGGGAUUUUGUAUGUACCAUAUGAAUAAGGAUCGGCUAACUCCGUGCCAGCAGCCGCGGUAAUACGGAGGGUCCGAGCGUUAUCCGGAUUUAUUGGGUUUAAAGGGAGCGUAGGUGGAUUGUUAAGUCAGUUGUGAAAGUUUGCGGCUCAACCGUAAAAUUGCAGUGGAAACUGGCAGUCUUGAGUACAGUAGAGGUGGGCGGAAUUCGUGGUGUAGCGGUGAAAUGCUUAGAUAUCACGAAGAACUCCGAUUGCGAAGGCAGUUCACUGGACUGCAACUGACACUGAGGCUCGAAAGUGUGGGUAUCAAACAGGAUUAGAUACCCGUGUAGUC
rnacentral:rRNA from 1 species